AGGUGUGGUCAUACCAAAACAAUAUUAUCGGAUCCAAUCCGAACUCCAUAGUUAAGUGUACUUGGGUGAGAGUAGUACUAGGAUGGGUGACCUCCUAGGAAAUCCUCGGGUUGCACCUU
rfam:Lupinus angustifolius cultivar Tanjil chromosome LG03, whole genome shotgun sequence.